CCUCCCUUGUCGAUCGCGAGCAGACGUGCACCGAGCGUACUCCGGCGUUGACGCAGUGUACGGGCGUCGCGCAACUUGCGUCGUGUAUUCGCGAGGCGUGUUGCCCCAGGCACUUGUUCUUCCCGUGUUCUUGCGAUUUUUGGCCUCUUCACGGCGAUCGUGUGACCUCCGUGUGUGCGAGACAUCCUGGCAGUCCUUUUCUUCGUUCUUGACAUCGUCCGGAACGGUGUGUCGUUGGGCGGAGAGGAAAACAGACAGCCGUCUCGCCGAACCCUGCACAGCCAGCCGAAAGUUCGUGCGUGCGGAUUGUCAUCGCCAAGGAGAUCCUACCUAACCCCGGCGGAUCGUCGGAUGUGCGUCGUGACGCCUAACUGAGUGUGCCUGGAGCGAGAGAGAACCCAACCCUAUCGUCACCGCCACCCGCAGUUUUGUCCGUUUUAUUUCCUCAGCCGUGACCGUCGUCGUUGUCUUCGUCGUGGUGGCUUCCGUCCACCGCGCUUACGGAUAAUGGAAUGGCGACCCGGUUACAUCGCAUGAGCUUUUCGCCGGCAGAAAACCUGGGGUCCCAUCAUACUAUGGAAAUAAAUCCUCCAUACAGCAACCUUCAAAGAAAAGACCAGCAUGGCGUGAUGGGCUUCCUGGGUGGGCUUCCCUCGCUGCCAGGUGGCUCCCAACCAUUGCACCAGCCGCAGCCACAGCACCCACUGGCUGCUGCCACCGCCACCGUGCAGCCGAGCUCAACAGGGGACAUGCAACAGCAGCAGGAGCACUUGCAGUUCCAACAACAGCUCCUGCAACUCAAACAGGAGCAGCAGGUGCAACAGCAGUUGUUGCUUCAGCACUACCAACGGCAACAGCAGCAGCUAGCGCAGCAGCAUGAGAAGCAGCUGCAGGAGCGGAUCAAGGAAUACCUCGAGCAUCAGCGGCAGAUCCAGGAAGAGUACAAGCUUGAACGCGAGCGCCUUGAGAAGGAUCGUCAGCUAGACCAGAUUCGCAAGAAGGAUAAGCACGAACAGAGUGCUGUGGCAUCGUCUGAAGUGAAACAAAGGCUACAGGAGUUUGUCUUGAACAAGAAACAACGGGAAGCAGCAGCUAACAAUGCCAACACAUCACCACCAAAUUUUAGAAACUGGUCCAGGCAGCGUUCUUCUCUGGAUCAAGCUUCGCCUCCUUCAACAAGCGCUGUUUCGCCUCAGUGCAGACAUCUGCUUCUGGGGAAGUACGACGACGAUUUCCCACUCCGGAAAACGGCGUCGGAACCAAACCUUAAGGUGCGCUCUGCGCUGAAGCAAAAAGUAAUUGAGAGGCGCAGCAGCCCGCUUCUGAGGCGCAAGGACAAAGGGCCCAUUCCUUUGAAGCGGCGGCCGCUUACAAUCGAUGGCAGUGGAAGCAAACCUGACUCGUCGGAAGGAUCCCCGCCCAAUGGGUCGCUGUCACUGCACUCUUCUCUGCAUUCCAGUAACGGUAGCACACCCAUUCAGGAGGAGCCUGGCACUUCUCCAUACCACCCUCUGAACCAGGGUGGCAGCAGUGAUCUCGCGCUCUACUCAUCACCCUCCAUGCCCAACAUCUCCUUGGGGCGCCCCCCUGUGGCCACCAGCUCAGCUGAUGGGAAAAUCCUGAAUUCUGUCUCCGAGGCCCAAGUUCGCGCCAUGGCAGCUGCACGUCUUGGGAUGCCACUCACAUCACAUGUGUUGCACUCAUCAUUGCCUUUCUGCUCACCAUUGCCAGUAAUAGAUGGGGAGUUCACGCCCCCAACCAGUCCUGGCUACAUCCAGCAGCAGAUGAAAGGCCUGGAACAGUCUGGGGCUCCAGGACACAUGCUGCAAGUUAUGUAUGCGCCACCUCCAGGCGCCGUUAUCACUGAUGCUCAGGUGGCACAAGCACGCCUGCACAGGACCAUCCAUCGUCCUCUGGGCAGGACCCAAUCAGCACCCCUACCCCUCGGACAUCCAAUGCUGCAGCCGCAGGGUGUGCUGCUCAACGCACAACUCUUUGAGCAGCAGCAACAGCACAACUUGCUCAAGCAGCACAUUCGGCAGACAGUGCUGACUCGGGCGGGUAGCAAGAGCCAGGUGGUGGAGCACGUGGAGGAAGAGACAGAGGCUGCCGUCGCACAAGAGAUGAAAGACCAGCCAGAGGUCAUCGACCUCACAGACUCGCGCAAGGGAUCAUCCGCUUCAUCAACCUCUGCAGCAGAAGGCACACCACCUCCUCACACCUCUGCUGCCACCUUGCUGCAGCUUCAGCAGCGACAGAGGGACCUUAUCAACCGGCACUCACUCCAUCUUGGCGCUGGCAUGGAAGGUUCUGCCUUUACGCGACACCAGCAUGGUGCACGUCCAUUGUCCCGUGCCCUGUCCAGCCCACUGGUGAGCCUGAGCCCUCCUGGAGGAAGCAGCAGCCCCCAGCACCAGUCAGAACUGGGCAGCCCUCCUCCACCACAUGGAAGCCCCCCACACCGAAUGACCACAGCCCUAGCCUACGACAGCCUCAUGCUGAAACACCAGUGCAUCUGCGGCGACUACUCCAGCCAUCCAGAACAUGGUGGCAGGCUGCAGAGCAUCUGGGCACGCCUACAGGAAACAGGACUCGUAUCCCGCUGCGAGAGGAUCCGGUCACGAAAAGCCACAUUGGAGGAAAUACAAUCGUGUCAUGACGAGGGCUACGCCUUCAUGUUUGGUACCAAUCCUCUCAACAGGCAGAAACUGGAAAUGAGCAAAUUAGAGCUUCCCAUUAAAAGCUUUGUGAUGCUGCCGUGUGGAGGUAUUGGUGUGGACUCUGACACUACCUGGAAUGAGCUACACACGGCCAGUGCAGCCCGUAUGGCUGCUGGCUGUGUAGUGGACCUUGCCCUCAAGGUGGCCAUGGGUGAAGCCAAGAAUGGUUUUGCCGUGGUUCGCCCUCCCGGUCACCAUGCAGAGUUCAAACAAGCAAUGGGAUUUUGCUUCUUUAAUUCCGUGGCGAUUGCUGCUAAGCAGCUUCGGCAAAAGCUCAAGAUGGAGAAGAUUCUCGUGGUUGACUGGGACGUCCACCACGGGAAUGGUCUGCAGCAAAUAUUUUACGAUGACCCGCAUGUGUUGUACAUCUCCCUUCAUCGACAUGAUGACGGCAAUUUUUUUCCCGGCACUGGUGAUCCUCAGGAGGUUGGCAUUGACGAUGGCACAGGCUUCAAUAUCAACAUUGCCUGGUCCGGUGCAUUAAACCCCCCAAUGGGUGAUGCCGAGUACAUCGCAGCUUUUCGGACCAUUGUGAUGCCCAUAGCUCGGGACUUCGACCCGGAGAUUGUCCUGGUUGCAGCGGGAUUUGAUGCAGCUGCUGGCCACCCACCUCCACUUGGUGGAUACCAGAUAUCACCAGCCUGUUUUGCCUAUAUGACGAAGCAGCUGAUGACAUUGGCCAAGGGCAAAGUUGUGCUUGCUCUAGAAGGAGGAUAUGACCUGCCGUCCAUCUGUGACUGUUCUCAGGAGUGUGUAGCAGCACUGCUUGGAGAUGAGUGCACACCCUUGCGCGAAGAAGAGCUCACCCGGCAGCCUUGUGCAGCUGCGGUUCAGCUGCUGCAGAAAACUGCCGCCAUCCAAGCACCACACUGGCCAUGCGUCAAGAAGUGGGCACCGACCAUGGGUUUCCUCUCUGCUUGAGGCUCAGCAGAAGGAGAAGGAAGAGGUGGAGACAGUCACUGCCCUGGCCUCCCUCUCCAUGGCUGCUGCACAGAUGCAGGGUCCAAAGUCCGAACCGCCUCAAGAGGACGAACCAAUGGAAGAGGACCAAGAUAAGUGAGCAGUUGAGUGUGCACAAAACAGCAACAUUGCAGAUAAAGCAGUGAGAAAUUUUCAACCACACUGGUGCAAACUGCUGAGGACUCCUGCCCAAAUGAGCCAAGGAACACAAGUUCGCACUGUCACCCUUGAAGCAUCAACGAACAGAAAGCGGAGCGGUACUGCUGUCAUGGCAACAUGCAUGCAGCACCUUUCAUCACUUCUGAGGAUCAGGAAUAACGCCACGGUUUACGUGAAGUCUGAAGGUCAAGCGGGUCAAGAACCAGGGGCACCCACCGAACACAGAUAUAUCUGUGGAAUGACGUACUCAUGUCAUCCUGUCAUUCUCAAUUGGUCCGUAGACCGUUGUUGGAUCAUAAUUUGUUGACAUUGUUGCUGGUUAAGGAGUGGCUUGUCUGCCAGACGUGAUGUUGCAGAUGAUUUUUGAAGACAUGCAUUGAUGUCGUUUUGAUAUUUAAGGCAGCAUGUGAUUGCACUUGGGGUUCUUACCAACAGGUUCAGACAUUUUAUCAGCAAGCAGGUGCCAGUUACACUGUGCUCAAUGCGAACAUCAGUGUUUGUGGCAGAACCUCUCAUUCUGAAAAGCGAUGUACUGUUUUUCGCCUCUUGCAUACCAAGUAUUAUGGCUGCUGUCAGUUUUAAUGCUUCCUACUUGCUGAUUUGUGUUGACUGGCAGUUCUGCGUCUUGCGUGUAUGUUGGCUGCACAGAUUCAGGGCAGUGCGCCCACGUCGUUGCAAAUUAUGUCAACACCCAACUGCUCCAUGUCUGCCAGUUGCACUGUUAAGAACAGAAUGAUGCUGUGGACAUCUGAUGAGCAUCACCCCAACAUGACAGUGUAAGCUGUUAGGCUACAGCUACCGAGUUCUCAAGAUUUUUCAUGUCAGUUAUUGUCAUACCUAUGUUUUAGGGUAUACAGUUGCUUCAUGCAGUCUCUUGUGCAUUGCCUGUACAUUUUCUGGUGCCAGUCACACCAGGUUCGAUAGUCUUUAACUGUGCACUAGCUAUGUCGUUAAACAAGGAUGACAGCGUGACAUUGAACUUGCAUCCGAGAUUGCGAAAGUGUCACCUGAUGCCCUCAAGUGGCCCCAACAGUAUGCAAGACAAGUCUUGAACAGAGUUAGCAGGCUUGCUUGCAUUUUCUGAGAAGGAAACACGUUUGCAAUCCAAAGAAAUGUGCUAGUUUGGCAGUGGCAGAGCAUUCUCGCAGGUUGCAUUGCACGAUAACAUUGAGGGCCUUAAAAAAGCCUGCGAGAGCACUGUGGAGGGAAAGAGACGGGAGCAUUGAAGAAUGUUGCAUUGGUUCAUAUCGUGCGCAUGUUUGGGAAGGAUAUUGCGAUGUACAACUGCACUUUGUAUAUGCACAACUGUGCACGCACUGUCUGCUACACAACCUCAGUGCAGCAUAAAGUAGAGAAACAACUAGCUGCUCUUUUUUUUUUGAGAGGAAGGAAAGAAGAAGAAAAAAAAGGACAAGGAAGAAUCAUCCUUAUAACUGUUGCAGCCAUUUUUACGAAGAAGAGUAAGCAGGGAGUACUAGUUCGUCACCAUAGUGAUUAAACAAAUGUGUUUUUACACUGCUGCAGUGGUCUUAUUAUGCCACUGUUAUGGGCAUUACAUACUACAGAGUCUUUUGGAUGUACUAAGUUUUUGUGAGCUUUAUGACGACUUUAAAACAAUGCUAGUCAGAACCUCGUCAGUAUCGCAUCUGCGGGGGACAUGUGCUAAGUGUUUUUUACGGCAGCAGCUGUGGCAGUAACGUAAGAAAGCAAAGUGCCCGCCUGUUUGUCGCUGUCUCUCACUUCCCAUAGCUGCGCAUAGUUGCCUUUGGUAUACUGCUGUGGUAGACGCUGGAAGACAGGUUUUCAUGGAACUGUUGACGGCAGAUUGCGGGUGGCUUUGGGGCUUUCUAGGGCGUUUGAAUUGGGUGCAGCCCCGCCAGUGCUACGCCCUUGGCACUGGCAUGACUAGUAGGUGCAGUGAACCCAUCUGUAUUAGUCGCACAUGGAAGGACUAAUAGGGGAAUUUCUACACUUGUUUGCCUUGCACAUUGCAUUUUAUAUAUUUUUGUUGUUGCAUUCUACGAACAACCAGAACAAAACUUGAUUGGUUUGUGGUUCCCUGACCGACAACUUUCUAGGCCACACUCUGGUUUUCUGUUACCCGCACAUACGCACAACGCGGACACAAAGACACACACUACACACACACAUGCACACAAAUAUGAGAACACAUUUACAUAUGUGCAGCACUUUUCAGUUCUGAUCCUUUGUUGAGCUAAAGAAUAAAUCAUUCAUAAAAGUGAAAAUUGGUCAUACCAAUGCGCUGGCCUUGCUUGCUUGAAAGGGCAGCUGUUGUGCCCACAGCACUCAUUGUGUAAAUAUGUCCAUGCGAAACACACUGAAGAGGCUAGUGCGAGAGGAGUGCAUACAUGCUGAUUUGAAAGCUGCUUGGUAACAUCAGAAGAAGAACAAAUGCCGCAGACAGGGGCUCGCGUCUGGUUCUUCAGCUGCAGUUUGCCAAGUGAUUUAAGUUCCUUACAAAACUGGCGUGCUUUGUGAUGUACAAUAUAUUUACUGUGCUAGUGAAAGUUCUCAUUAAUGUCUUCAUGCUUUCUUUUUUAUCUUCAUUUUUUCUUUUCACACAUUGUAUUUUUUGACUGUUGAAUGUUAGCGUUUUUCCGAGCUGUAAAACCUGAUGUGAAGGUCGUGUAUACUUGUUUCUUAACCGUCUGUUUGUGUGCACGUGUUGACAUAUACAUACAUAUAUAUACUUGCUUUACGCAACGUUAAACACACAGCUAGACAGGAUGGCACUGUUUGCGACUGUGGUUCUGCUCAGGCACCCUCUGGUCUGCAGAUAAUUGCUUUUCCUGUUUUGCGCUUUCUCGCAUUUUGCUCAUGGCUUCAUUUCUCGUUGCAAUCUUGUGCACAUUCUAAAGCCGCUUCGCUUGUCCAUUGAGCAUUUUAUUUGUAAAUACACAAGCUGUUUUAAGGAUUUUCAUUUAUUCUUGUGUGCGUUUUUUUUUCCUCAACACCGAACUCGUCACUCAUUUGUUGUGCAUCGUGCCACCCCAAUCUCCUCCCCCCCACCCCUCUACACCUGAGUCACUGAUGAUAAUAUAUAUAUAUAUAUAUAUAUAUAUAAAACAUGUUACAGCGCCAUAAUAGUAUAUCAUUUGUACAGUGCUGAUUUUACUCCGUCUUCAGAAACCUCAUUUCAAGGUCAAAACAAAGUAUACUGCAUAACCCAUUGUUGGCUGAGCGCUUAAUUAAGGAACAACAUGCUUUGUUUUGUGAACUUUGAACCCAUAGUCAGUUUGAGGGCCGUUAAAAAGAAAACCAUGAAAGAGAGAAAUAAUUUUGCUGAAAUCUGGCUGUGUGAAAGUGCCUAGCAGAAAGCUUUGAAGUUGUCGCAUGUAUGUUGAUAAUUUUAUUUUGGGUUUUUUGAUUGGUGAUCGGGCUAUAAUGCAUAAUGUGGAAAGAGAGAAAAAAAGGCUGGCUUAUAUGUUUCAUUAGUUCUGCAUACGAUACAUGUGCAUGUGGGUUGGGAUUUUUCUAGAGUGUACCUGAAUAUUUUUUUGUUCUCAUUGUAGGGACACUGAAGGCAAACAUUAAGCCAAGGUAAACUGAUAAAUGUAUGCUCCGAAAAUGUCCAAGUGCAAAGAGCAAAGGAUUUUUGUAAGUGAAAGUCAUAUAUAUGGGAGAGGAUUGGCAACACCACUUUGAGUAUACAGGACCAGUUCUUGAUGCCUUCUUCGUAAUUGGUCAUUAUUUAUUUUUUAUUUGCAUUGCCUACAGCGCCCAUAGGGAAUUAAUGUAGGGCGGAAUAAAAGCCCUCAAAAAUACAGUGAAUUCAUAUACAUAACAAAACGCAGAUUGAUAACAGUGCGUAACAGUUCAGGAAGCUACAAUAAAAAAAUUGUUAAUAAUAAUAGUGGGUAACGAAUGUUCACAAAAAGUUAAAUAUUAAUGACAAAGAGAGAGAAAAAAAAAGUUGAGUAUUGAGCUGCUAAUAUGAAAAGCUAGUUAAUUAGAAUGGGAAAGAAAACUUAGAGAGGUUAAUUUUAAUUAAUUUUCUUGUGAAAGAACUCGCUGGUUCUCUAUUCAUGCCACUCUGUCAGCACCAUUUGCAAGAGAGUGGUGCCCUUUCUAUGCGGCCUUCUGAUUUCGGCAAGGGAAAUAAUGCUCCGAGGAGCAUGACCUCGGAGUUUCUAUGCUGUGUGUCGAUAUGUCAGUAACAUGUCAACACCAGUUUUCUCAGGCCAUCUCCUGUCUAAGGUAGGUGUCGUUUUCAAUAGAAAAUUAUCUGCAAGUAAGUCACCGCUUGAUACAGAACAAAGGCUUCUAGAUUAUGAGGAUUGUCAUCUACCACUGUAAAAUUGAGUUAAUAUUUCCUUUUUAGGGUUCCUUUAACAAAGGAAGUUUAUGUUCUUAAUUUGCCAGCUUGCUCACUUUUAAACUCAUCUGUGCGUAUAAGAAAAAUGAAAAAGGGGAGGCUUUUUUUUUCUGUUUUAUGCAAAUUACAUGCACUGUAGUUAAUGUGUGAAUAAAGACUUGCAUGUUGGUUAAGCUUUAAGCGUUUCACUGCAGCGUAGUGUUGUGUAGUCGACCAAUUUAUGGAGUAAAAGGUAAAAAUUUUAACAGUACCUCUUAUUUUUUUUCCUGCGAGACAAUUAGUGCAAGCCCUUUUUUUUUUGCUUUUUUAUAUACAAACAGCUAUUCUGACUGACGCUGAAACACACAAUGAUCAAUCUAGUCAAUUAAUUGAGCAUGUCUAAGAUGCCCUCUUUUGUUGAACUUUUAAUACCGUUGUUCCUUCGUGCUUUUGUUUUCAAACUUUGCGAUAAUACGUUUAUGAAGUGCUGGUUUCAGAGCGAACAUUGUUGUAGUUAACAAUGACACACUUUCUGUGCAUGUCGGCAGGCAUGAAAAAGUGCUGGGGCUAGUCAUGGUUAGUCAGAGGUGCACUUGGCUAACGUGACGUUUUGUUCUUUGUUUUCUUGUUUGGCCCGUCUUGUUGCGCAGUCUUGUAUAUUGUAUGUUGCAGAGGAUAUACACGAUAACUUAAACUGUACAGUCAUAGAGAUGUUUGUGUUUUCUUUCAAUUAUAUUAUUGCGCUAUUUCAUUACAAAGUGAAGACACGAUAAAUAAAAGCAUAUAUUUUUUGCCACUUGUAUGUACACUAUGUGCCAUUGUAAAGUGUGUUAUAUUAUUAUGGAUACUGAAAGAUGUAUUUGUACUCUCUCCCUUGUUUUCCUUUGUUUUUGUCAUGCAUUUGUAUCAUCAAUAAACCAUUAUUCAGUGCCUAUCA